UUUAACGUGUUACGUCUGCGCGAAAACGCGUCGCGAGGAAUAUACGUUCUCUCGCAUCGAGCGUCGUCUAGCAAGAUCUUGAAGAGCGCAAUCUCCCCGUGAUAUACGCGGUACAUAUUAUAACUGUCUUGGGGGAUCGAGAUGAAUUUCAUGAAACAGUAAGAGCCACGAAAUGUUUGACGAAAGGAAUGAUGUGAACUCGGGUGCAGCCUGGGAUGAGGGCAUGUAUAGUACUUUCAGAUAUUUUCAGAUUUAUUU